UCAAGACCAGGACGUUGAUAGGCUGGGUGUGUAAGCGUUGUGAGGCGUUGAGCUAACCAGUACUAAUUGCUCGUGCGGCUUGACCAUAUAACGCCAAAGCGGU
rnacentral:rRNA from 1 species